rnacentral:rRNA from 1 species
CUUUACUGCAGCUUCGCCUUGGCGUUAGCGACAACAUGUGUAGGAUAGGUGGGAGGCUAUGAAACCGGGGCGCCAGCUCUGGCGGAGCCAACCUUGAAAUACCACCCUUGUUGUCGUUGACGUCUAACCGAGGUCCGUUAUCCGGAUCCGGGACAUGGCGUGGCGGGCAGUUUGACUGGGGCGGUCGCCUCCCAAAGUGUAACGGAGGCGCGCGAUGAUGGGCUCAGACCGGUCGGAAAUCGGUCGUCGAGUGCAAUGGCAUAAGCCCGCCUGACUGUGAGACUGACAAGUCGAACAGAGACGAAAGUCGGCCAUAGUGAUCCGGUGGUUCUGUAUGGAAGGGCCAUCGCUCAACGGAUAAAAGGUA